rnacentral:tRNA from 1 species
GCCGAAGUGGUGGAAUUGGCAGACGCAACGGACUCAAAAUCCGUCGGUAGUGAUAUCGUGCGGGUUCAAGUCCCGCCUUCGGCACCA